UACGAGGGGGGCAAGCGUUGUUCGGAAUUAUUGGGGCGUAAAGGGUGCGUAGGCGGUUUGGUAAGUCUUAUGUGAAAUCUACAGGCUCAACUUGUAGUCUGCAUGAGAAACUGCCGGGCUUGAGUAUGGGAGAGGUGAGUGGAAUUCCUGGUGUAGCGGUGAAAUGCGUAGAUAUCAGGAGGAACACCUGUGGCGAAAGCGGCUCACUGGACCAUAACUGACGCUGAUGCACGAAAAGCUAGGGGGAGCAAACAGG
rnacentral:rRNA from 1 species